UUCAUCUUUCGGUGGAAAAAAAAAAACUCAUCUUUCUUCUUUGUUGCUCUCUCUGCGACUGAGAGCGAACAAGCGCUCUGCGAAUUGUCUUAGUGGGAGAAGAUCGCCGCCGGUGGUCUCGGGACGACUAUGAUGAAGAAGCCGAUGGAUCGAUCAUCCCAUUGUUCGACUCCAACUAAUUAACAAAAUCAGCGGAUUCCGAGAGCGAUGCAGGAUAGGAUCAAAGCAAAGACGACGAGCCCUUCUUCGUCUUCUUCUUCUUCGGGUUUUUUUAGACAAGAUUGCAAAACCAUGAUCGAGACGUGAAUCUAUGUCUGAAGCCAGAACUACGGGGAGAGAUUGUGUCUGCUACAUGUUCUUGCUUCUUCCUCAACCACCAAUUCAUCAACUCCUCUUCUCUCCUCCACGCAUCAAUCUGAUUUUGAAGAUUGAACCAUUCCAUACCUUUUGCUAGGAGCUCUCUAGUUCUCAUCCUGCUCAAGUACUACGGAGAUUUGUGCAGGUAAAGUGGAUUGGAUCUUCCACGCUUUUUGGAUCCUCUGAUUGGAGAGAACCUUUCGUAUGUUGUCAUGUUUUAUACAGAUACCUUUUGUAUGGAGAUAUCUCGACAAAGGCUCGUCUUACCUAAGGUAACGAUUGUUAAACCAUUUAGUUUUCCGCUGGAGAUUCCAUUGGGUGUCUGCUACUCUGUUCUUGCUUCCUCAAUCCUCACCCACCAAUUCAACUCCGACGAAGUAGAUUCAGAACACGGUCGCUAUGCUAAGGUCUGGAGAAUUGACGAAGAAGAUUCAGAACCAACACUAAGAUGAACUACUUCUCUGUACAAUUGAACCAUCCCAUUACCUUUUGCUACCCUAGAUGCCGACGAGCCAGCUCUCUGGUGCUCAUCCUGCUCCUCCUGAAGCACUACACAUCUCUCUGGUGUGUGCGUCUUUACUUGUCUGACUUUGAAUUUUGUAAUUUGUGCAGGGAAAGUUGAUUUGGAUCUAACACGCUCUUGGAUUGGUGAUUGAUAUCCUAACUGCUAUGGCUAUAGAGCUCUCUGGUCUUGUGUGUGUCUUUACUUCUCAGACUUUGAAUUUUAUAAUUUGUGCAGGGAAAAUCGGAUUGGAUCCUCUCAAUCAUAACACGCUUUUGGAUCCUCUCAAUGGAGAGAACCCUUUCAAUAUUAAAGUGGGUGAAAGCAGCAAUUCUCAGGUACGUAGUGGACAGCAAGGUAAGCAUUGUAAUGGAGCUAUGGAGUUGAGUGAAAUGGAAGACUGUUGGCAAUGGAAGAUACACAAGGAGCCAAGUGAAGAGCCGAGAUGUUUGUUCAGUUGACUGGUGGUGGACUCGAGGCUGCUGUUUGCGGAGCAAACUCAAAAAGAGUUUUGGUGGGGCACUUUGCGCCGUAAGGACUCAAACAAGUGCUCAUAACUUGUACAUGUUUCCAAGAUGAUAUUUCCAUGGAUGUUUGAUGAGACUCAUUCCUUGAUGCCAUUCAAAUCUGCUGCUGCUGAUCUCUUGGUCAAGAUUAGAGUAUUCGCCGGCCUCUAUUAUAUGAUAUAUGAUAGUUGCCAAGGUGCAUUUUGGCCAUGGAAGAUACUCAAGGAGCCAAGUGAAGAAGAUCCCAAAUGUUUGUUCACUUGACUUGGUGUACUCGAGGAAGGAUGCUGCAUGCAGAGAGCAUUACUCAAUGGGCCAAGAUUGUACAUGAUGAGCUGUGAAAUUUCUGGGUGGUGGACAAGUAUUUGGUACUCUCUUAUCUAAAGAGGAAGCAAAAGACAACGACUCCCUGGAAAAGACCUCUUCGGAUACAAUUAGAUUUGCUUCGUGGGGGUCUUAAGCUCCUAUCUAAACCUCCAGAGGAUUAUCCGGUUCUUUUGGUGUGGAUUUGAUGCCAUCUUUUGCAACUUAUCUCGUCCAAUGCCUGGGGGAUCAGAGUUGGUGGUUAUGCAAGUUUUGCUUUUUCAGGCUGGUCCCCAAGCUUUAUAUAUGAAGUUGUUGGUGUCUCCAAUUUUAACCGAGCUUGGGAAAGGUCAAGAACUACUCGUGGCCUAACGUUGAUGUUCAUAGCGGAGUGCUGCUGAACUCUUAUCGUCUAAACCGAAAGCAAGAUACUAUACUGUGCUUUUUGGCUGUCACAAGGAGCCUCGUCAUCUGCUAACAGGUACCUGAUAUGGGACCUGGCUCUUGGACUGCCACUUGAGCGGCCAAAUAGUCCAAAGAUGUAGAGGUUACAUGUCCUCCAAAAGGUGAAACUUUGGAGCUUCUUGUGUUUUAAGCUCCUCUCUAAACCACCGAGGAUUAUCAUGUUCUUCGGUGUGGGUUUACGGGCAACUUCUCUCGUCCAAAGCGUUGGGAGAUCACAGUUGGUGGUUACGCGACUUUUGCUUCUUCAGGCUGGUAACGUUUUAUAUCCGUUGAUGGGUGGAGGAGAAGUAUCUAAACUACACUUUGCUAAGUCAGGUCAUCAUCAAACUGAAUUUGAAGAUCAGAGACAUGCUAUGGUUUGAAGUAUGAAUGAAAAGAUUCAGAACCAACACAAAGAUGAACUUCCCCUACAGUAACAAUAUCAAACUGAUUGAACCAUUCCAUACCUUUUGCUACCCUAGAUGCCGAGGAGCUCUCUGUUUCUCAUCCUGCUCAAGUACGCCAGCGAAUGGGACUACAUACGCUGGACUCGGAGGAAGAACAACUGGAGCUCCUCAUAGUCACUGAUUGAACCAUUCCAUACCUUUUGCUACCCUAGAUGCCGAGGAGCUCUCUGUUUCUCAUCCUGCUCAAGUACGCCAGAGAAUGGGACUACAUACGCUGGACUCGGAGGAAGAACAACUGGAGCUCCUCAUAGUCACUGAUAAGAGAAAUCAGAACUAUCCCAAAUUUCCACAAGUCUCUGUAGAUGUGAUUGUAACCCUUGUUUUGGUCUCUAAUAUCAGGUCGAUUAUGUUGCGUGGCAAUGUGAUCAAGAUGCUUUUUGUUCACGAGGUCGUAGUAGGGAACUCGGUGAAUGGGACUAUAUUCUCUGGACUCAGAGGAAGAACAACUGGAGCUCCUCAGAAUCACUGGUAACAAUGGUUAGACCAUUUAUUUUCCCGUUGGAGAUGCCACCACUUCAACUGAUGGGGGGCAUUAUAAUAUACACAUGGUAAGCAUUGUAAUGGAGCUAUGGAGGAGUUGGUUGAAAUGGAAGACUGUUGGCAAUGGAAGAUACACAAGGAGCCAAGUGAAGAGCCGAGAUGUUUGUUCAGUUGACUGGUGGUGGACGUGAGGCUGCUGUUUGCAGAGCAAACUCAAAAAGGUCAAGGUGCAUUCUCGCCAUGGAAGAUACACAAGGAGCCAAGUGAAAAAGAUCCCAAAUGUUUGUUCACUUGACUGGAGGAAGGAUGCUGCUUGCAGAGAGCCAAACUCAAUGGCCAAGAUUGUACUCUUGAUGAGCUAGUGAGAUUGCUGGGCGGAGAAGUAUUUGGUACUCUCUGAUCUAAAGAGGAAGCAAAGACAACGAGUCCCUGGAAAAGACCUCUUGGGAUACAAUUAGAUUUGAGAGGCCAGAGAUAUGGGGCUGGUUGAAAUCGAAGACUGUUGGCCAUGGAAGGUACAUUACACAAGGAGCCAAGUGAAGAGCUGAGAUAUGUUAGAAGGUUUAUUCAGUUCUAUUAGUGACCAAUCCGUUGGGAUGGGGAGUCAUUCGUGGAGUCAGACCAGAUCAGCAGCUGGUCAAGAUUGUACUUGAUGAGCUACUGAAAUUGGCGGGUGGAUGAGAAAGUAUCUGAGCUACACUUGUACUCAGAGCUGCAUUCACCGGGCUACCAGCAUUUCAGCUCUAAUCAUAACACGCUUUUGGAUCUUCCAAUCAUAACACGCUUUUGGAUCCUCUCAGUGGAGACAACCUUUCAAUAGUAAUAAAGGUUCUCAAGGGGAUGAAACAUGAACUCAGCCAUUUAUAUUUGUGGACAGCUUCUCCCAGUGCCCCCAUGCAUGGCUCUCCUUAACCCUUUCAAACCCCACAGAAGAUUGUACUUGAUGAGCUACUGAAAUUGAUGGGUGGAGGAGAAAGUAUCGGAGCUACACUUCCUUGUACUCAGAGCUGCAUUCAACGGACUACCAGCAAUUUAGCUCCCCUCUCUCCUACACGGGUUGGCUUCUAAUUUUGCUUCUUUUUUUUUCGUUUUGAUCUCACUUGAGUGGGUUUCUAGCAAUAAAGUAGAUUUAGAACACGGUCGCCGCCGUUCCUACAGUAACAGCAUCAAACAGAUUUUGAAGAUCGGAGGUAUGCUAUGGUUAGAAAAAUGAAUGAAAAGAUUCAGAACCAACACAAAGAUGAACUUCGCCUUACAGUAACAACAUCAAACUGAUUGAACCUUUCCAUACCUUUUGCUACCCUAGAUGCCGACGAGCUAUAUGGUGCUCAUCUUGCUCUCACGUACUACAGAGCUUUGUGCAGGGGAAAUGGAUUGGAUCUUCGAAUCCUAACUCGCUUUUUGGAUCCUCUGAUUGGAGAGAACCUUUCAAUCUUAAAGUGGAUGCAACAGAUACCUUUUGUAUGGAGAUAUCUCGACAAAGACCCGCUCAUAUGCUCGCCUUACCUAAGUUUUGUUCAUAUAUUUGGCGUUUUCUUUACUCCCUGGGUUAAGGAGGCUUAUUGCAGAGCAAACUCAAAGGCCAAGGUGAGUCUCGCAGUUGUUAGAAGGUGUUAGUGACCAAGCCAUUGGGAUGGGCAUCAUUCGUGGAGUCAGACCAGAUCAGCAUUUGGUGAAGAUUGUACAUGAUGAGCAAGUAAAAUUGAUGGGUGGAAGAGAAGUAUCUAAGCUACACUUCCUUGUACUCAGAGCAGGAUUCACCGGGCUACAAGCAUUUCAGCUUCUCUCUCUCCUAGACGGUUUGGCUUCCAGUUCGUUUCUACAAAAUACCAUCUUUAUGCCAUUGUGGAGCGUUCCAUGUCAUGUCUUGCUACUGCGCAAGACCAUUUUAUUGUUUCUGAGGUUUCUUUCGGGUGCUUGCCAUGAUCUCCCUUUGAUGGCUGCUGCAGUAGUGUCUUUAGCACUUGGGAUGAAAAAACAGAGGGUAUCAAAGAAGGUUGGUAUGAUGGAGGAAGCAUUGCAUUUCCAGUGAUUCUUGUCACAGCUGUCAGUGACUACAAACAGCCUCUCCAUUUUUAAAACUUGAGUGAUGAAAAGAGAUUCAUACAUCUAGAGGUGACCAGAGGUGGAAGACGAGUGGAUAUUUCAAUCUAUGACAUUGUGGUGGGUGAUCUCAUCUCAACAUUGGAAAUCAGAAGUGGUGCUGCUGCUUUGAAGGAGGUGUCAAUAGGUAUCGGAGAAAACGAUUAAACGGGUAAGAUGUGAAGAGCGAACCCUUUUAUCCUGAUCGAAUGGCUGUACGAAUUCUAUGAAUGGCAACAGAAGCUAAGUCUAUUCUAUGAUCAUAUGCAACUGAUGAAGCCACGGUUGGAGACCAUCCGGGAGGAAAUGCAAAACAAGUGAAAAAACGGAUGAGCAAGGAAGAGAUGGAGACGGCGAUGAACAAGACCAAAGAGAUUGUCUCCUCGUACCCGGUCGUUGUCUUCAGCAAGACUUACUGUCGUUAUUGCCAGAGGGUGAAGCAGCUGCUUACACAACUUGGAGCAAGUUUUAAAGUACUUGAGCUCGAUGAGAUAGGCGAUGGAAGUAAGAUCCAAUCAGCUUUGUCAGAGUGGACUGGCCAAAGCACUGUUCCAAGCGUCUUCAUCAAAGCAAAACAUAUCGGUGGAAGCGAUAGUAAGAGAAAAUUUU